AAUAAACGCUGCUAUGGGUUUCAGUGCUAACGUUUGACCAUCCGUCUUAUUUAUUUAUUUUUUAUGAUUACUAUUUUUAUUGUUAUUAGAUGAUAAAAUAUGAAUAGUACUUUAUGCGUGACUUAAUUUAUAAAGUUCUUUCAUAAAUUUUUCAAAUAAGGCGAAAGGUCAAAUGUUGGAUACGGAAACUUAUAGUUACAGUUAAA
rfam:Oryza barthii chromosome 7, whole genome shotgun sequence.